CUGCUUGCUUCUGCAGCACAUAUACUAAAAUUGGAAUGAUGCAGAAAUUAGCAUGGCCCCUGCGCAAAGAUGACACGUAAAUACAUGAAUUGAUCCAUCUUUUU
ensembl:snRNA U6 U6 spliceosomal RNA